rnacentral:rRNA from 1 species
GACGAACGCUGGCGGCGUGCUUAACACAUGCAAGUCGAGCGGUAAGGCCCUUUCGGGGGUACACGAGCGGCGAACGGGUGAGUAACACGUGGGUGACCUGCCCUCAGCUCUGGGAUAAGCCUGGGAAACUGGGUCUAAUACUGGAUAUGACUCCACGGUGCAUGUCGUGGGGUGGAAAGCCUUGUGCGGCUGAGGAUGGGCCCGCGGCCUAUCAGCUUGUUGGUGGGGNGAUGGCCUACCAAGGCGACGACGGGUAGCCGGCCUGAGAGGGCGACCGGCCACACUGGGACUGAGACACGGCCCAGACUCCUACGGGAGGCAGCAGUGGGGAAUCUUGCGCAAUGGGCGAAAGCCUGACGCAGCGACGCCGCGUGAGGGAUGACGGCC